rnacentral:rRNA from 1 species
AGACCCGAAACCCGGUGAUCUAGCCAUGGGCAGGUUGAAGGUUGGGUAACACUAACUGGAGGACCGAACCGACUAAUGUUGAAAAAUUAGCGGAUGACCUGUGGCUGGGGGUGAAAGGCCAAUCAAACCGGGAGAUAGCUGGUUCUCCCCGAAAGCUAUUUAGGUAGCGCCUCGUGAAUUCAUCUCCGGGGGUAGAGCACUGUUUCGGCUAGGGGGCCAUCCCGGCUUACCAACCCGAUGCAAACUGCGAAUACCGGAGAAUGUUAUCACGGGAGACACACGGCGGGUGCUAACGUCCGUCGUGAAGAGGGAAACAACCCAGACCGCCAGCUAAGGUCCCAAAGUCAUGGUUAAGUGGGAAACGAUGUGGGAAGGCCCAGACAGCCAGGAUGUUGGCUUAGAAGCAGCCAUCAUUUAAAGAAAGCGUAAUAGCUCACUGGUCGAGUCGGCCUGCGCGGAAGAUGUAACGGGGCUAAACCAUGCACCGAAGCUGCGGCAGCGACACUGUGUGUUGUUGGGUAGGGGAGCGUUCUGUAAGCCUGUGAAGGUGUGUCGUGAGGCAUGCUGGAGGUAUCAGAAGUGCGAAUGCUGACAUAAGUAACGAUAAAGCGGGUGAAAAGCCCGCUCGCCGGAAGACCAAGGGUUCCUGUCCAACGUUAAUCGGGGCAGGGUGAGUCGACCCCUAAGGCGAGGCCGAAAGGCGUAGUCGAUGGGAAACGGGUUAAUAUUCCCGUACUUGGUGUUACUGCGAAGGGGGGACGGAGAAGGCUAUGUUGGCCGGGCGACGGUUGUCCCGGUUUAAGCGUGUAGGUGUGUGUUCCAGGUAAAUCCGGUUCACUUUAACACUGAGGCGUGACGACGAGGCACUACGGUGCUGAAGCAACAAAUGCCCUGCUUCCAGGAAAAGCCUCUAAGCAUCAGGUAACAUCAAAUCGUACCCCAAACCGACACAGGUGGUCAGGUAGAGAAUACCAAGGCGCUUGAGAGAACUCGGGUGAAGGAACUAGGCAAAAUGGUGCCGUAACUUCGGGAGAAGGCACGCUGACACGUAGGUGAAGUGAUUUACUCAUGGAGCUGAAGUCAGUCGAAGAUACCAGCUGGCUGCAACUGUUUAUUAAAAACACAGCACUGUGCAAACACGAAAGUGGACGUAUACGGUGUGACGCCUGCCCGGUGCCGGAAGGUUAAUUGAUGGGGUCAGCGCAAGCGAAGCUCCUGAUCGAAGCCCCGGUAAACGGCGGCCGUAACUAUAACGGUCCUAAGGUAGCGAAAUUCCUUGUCGGGUAAGUUCCGACCUGCACGAAUGGCGUAAUGAUGGCCAGGCUGUCUCCACCCGAGACUCAGUGAAAUUGAACUCGCUGUGAAGAUGCAGUGUACCCGCGGCAAGACGGAAAGACCCCGUGAACCUUUACUAUAGCUUGACACUGAACAUUGAGCCUUGAUGUGUAGGAUAGGUGGGAGGCUUUGAAGUGUGGACGCCAGUCUGCAUGGAGCCGACCUUGAAAUACCACCCUUUAAUGUUUGAUGUUCUAACGUGGACCCGUUACCCGGGUUGCGGACAGUGUCUGGUGGGUAGUUUGACUGGGGCGGUCUCCUCCUAAAGAGUAACGGAGGAGCACGAAGGUUGGCUAAUCCUGGUCGGACAUCAGGAGGUUAGUGCAAUGGCAUAAGCCAGCUUGACUGCGAGCGUGACGGCGCGAGCAGGUGCGAAAGCAGGUCAUAGUGAUCCGGUGGUUCUGAAUGGAAGGGCCAUCGCUCAACGGAUAAAAGGUACUCCGGGGAUAACAGGCUGAUACCGCCCAAGAGUUCAUAUCGACGGCGGUGUUUGGCACCUCGAUGUCGGCUCAUCACAUCCUGGGGCUGAAGUAGGUCCCAAGGGUAUGGCUGUUCGCCAUUUAAAGUGGUACGCGAGCUGGGUUUAGAACGUCGUGAGACAGUUCGGUCCCUAUCUGCCGUGGGCGCUGGAGAACUGAGGGGGGCUGCUCCUAGUACGAGAGGACCGGAGUGGACGCAUCACUGGUGUUCGGGUUGUCAUGCCAAUGGCACUGCCCGGUAGCUAAAUGCGGAAGAGAUAAGUGCUGAAAGCAUCUAAGCACGAAACUUGCCCCGAGAUGAGUUCUCCCUGAGACUUAAAGUCUCCUGAAGGAACGUUGAAGACGACGAC